rnacentral:rRNA from 1 species
CGAUAUUUAAGUUGUUGCGGUUAAAAAGCUCGUAGUUGGAUUUCGGGCGUGGAGGUUCGGUCCGCCGUUUCGGUGUGCACUGUCUUUCUGCGUCUUUCUGUCGGGGACGCGCUUCUGGCCUUAAUUGGCUGGGACGUGGAUUCGACGAGGUUACUUUGAAAAAAUUAGAGUGUUCAAAGCAAGCUAAAGCUCUGAAUACAUUAGCAUGGAAUAACGCGAGAGGACUCGGUCCUUAUUUUGUUGGUCUUCAAGGAUGGAGUAAUGAUUAAGAGGGACAGUUGGGGGCAUUCGUAUUUCAUUGCUAGAGGUGAAAUUCUUGGAUUUAUGAAAGACCAACUUCUGCGAAAGCAUUUGCCAAGGAUGUUUUCAUUGAUCAAGAACGAAAGUUGGGGG